rnacentral:rRNA from 1 species
AGCGAACGCUGGCGGCAGGCUUAACACAUGCAAGUCGAGCGGGCAUCCUUGUGGUGUCAGCGGCAGGCGGGUGAGUAACGCGUGGGAACGUGCCCUUCGGUUCGGAAUAACUCAGGGAAACUUGAGCUAAUACCGGAUACGUGCGAGAGCAGAAAGGUUUAUCUGCCGAAGGAUCGGCCCGCGUCUGAUUAGCUAGUUGGUGAGGUUAUGGCUCACCAAGGCGACGAUCAGUAGCUGGUCUGAGAGGAUGAUCAGCCACACUGGGACUGAGACACGGCCCAGACUCCUACGGGAGGCAGCAGUGGGGAAUAUUGGACAAUGGGGGCAACCCUGAUCCAGCCAUGCCGCGUGAGUGAUGACGGCCUUAGGGUUGUAAAGCUCUUUUCUCCGGGACGAUAAUGACGGUACCGGAGGAAUAAGCCCCGGCUAACUUCGUG